UAAAACUUUCCUGACAAUAGCUCUAUGGCCCAUGUUUUCUUUUCCUUCCCUGUGAAGUUCCCCAACUUGCUUCAGAAUGGAGACCUUCAAGUCUCGUGACCGUCCACUGGAGCCUGGGUAUAGGAAGAGUGGAGAAGGGGUGUGGAGAACAACCACGGGGGAGGAAGUGUGAACUCCACAUGUAGCUUUGAAGAGUUGGUUCCUCUGGGGACAAAGAUGCCUGUGGCUGCCAUCCACACAGAAGAUUGCAGGGCACCAGUGUUUUCCAGAGUCAAGAAAAGCACCUGCCAUGCUUUGAGGGCUAGAAUGGCUUCCUGUUCUUCAUGCUACUCCUCUGGCUCGGCUUUCGGUUUUUAAUGACUCCCAUCACGAGACCAUUGUCAUCUCAGCUUCCUGUGAUAGCCCAAGAAUGCAUGAAAUUACCAUCUCCAACAAGAGCACAAAGCAAGCAGCCAUGCUUCACGGGCAUUAUCGCUUUAUUAAUCGCCAUUACGCCCUUCCAUCCCAGCGGCCCUUCCAGUUAGACAGGGAUGUGGUUUCAAACAAUCAUGCUGCUCUUGUAUUUUCACCAGGAUCUGUAUUAAAAGCUCUGACAGAUUGCUAAUGAGCUGAUGUUGGAAUUACAGAAUAGUCUGUUAGCCUGUGUCCGUUCACAGUUUCC
rnacentral:lncRNA from 1 species